AACCGGUACUUGCAGUCGGCUGGAAGAAGAGAGAAACGAGGCAGAAGAUAAGUCAACACCUUCAGAGCAGCUUUCAUUGUAUCUUGAUUGGCUGGAUGAGAACUGGAACCCAGAAGGUCUUUUCUCUAGUUUGGAUACACCGACUCACUCAUGCGUUCUUCUUUAAUUUUGUGUUUUUCUGCAGUGUAGAACAACACUGGAGACUUUCAAACUGAAACAAUACAAAUAUGGUUCAUAUUUUAGAUUCCUGAGUGCAUUCCCUGUUUGCCUUGACGACAGUUCUGCCUGAGUUCUGCUAACAUCUCAGCCAUCUUCAGGAGGCCAUCUCUAACAUCUCAACCAUCUUCAGGAGGUCAUCUCUAACAUCUCAGCCAUCUUCAGGAGGCCAUCUCUAACAUCUCAACCAUCUUCAGGAGGCCAUCUCUAACAUCUCAACCAUCUUCAGGAGGUCAUCUCUAACAUCUCAACCAGCUUCAGGAGGUCAUCUCUAACAUCUCAACCAGCUUCAGGAGGUCAUCUCUAACAUCUCAACCAUCUUCAGGAGGUCAUCUCUAACAUCUCAACCAGCUUCAGGAGGUCAUCUCUAACAUCUCAACCAGCUUCAGGAGGCCAUCUCUAACAUCUCAGCCAUCUUCAGGAGGUCAUCUCUAACAUCUCAACCAGCUUCAGGAGGCCAUCUCUAACAUCUCAACCAGCUUCAGGAGGCCAUCUCUAACAUCUCAACCAUCUUCAGGAGGCCAUCUCUAACAUCUCAACCAGCUUCAGGAGGUCAUCUCUAACAUCUCAACCAUCUUCAGGAGGCCAUCUCUAACAUCUCAACCAGCUUCAGGAGGCCAUCUCUAACAUCUCAGCCAGCUUCAGGAGGCCAUCUCUAACAUCUCAACCAUCUUCAGGAGGUCAUCUCUAACAUCUCAACCAGCUUCAGGAGGCCAUCUCUAACAUCUCAACCAUCUUCAGGAGGCCAUCUCUAACAUCUCAACCAUCUUCAGGAGGCCAUCUCUAACAUCUCAACCAUCUUCAGGAGGCCAUCUCUAACAUCUCAACCAGCUUCAGGAGGCCAUCUCUAACAUCUCAACCAUCUUCAGGAGGCCAUCUCUAACAUCUCAACCAGCUUCAGGAGGCCAUCUCUAACAUCUCAACCAUCUUCAGGAGGCCAUCUCUAACAUCUCAACCAGCUUCAGGAGGCCAUCUCUAACAUCUCAACCAGCUUCAGGAGGCCAUCUCUAACAUCUCAACCAUCUUCAGGAGGCCAUCUCUAACAUCUCAACCAGCUUCAGGAGGCCAUCUCUAACAUCUCAACCAGCUUCAGGAGGCCAUCUCUAACAUCUCAACCAGCUUCAGGAGGCCAUCUCUAACGUCUCAACCAGCUUCAGGAGGUCUUCUCUUGGAAUGAUACCUAAACAAUUAUCAAGUUCUAUUAUCAGAACAGAAGCAGGUGGAUCCACAAAGAACUUUUUAAAGAAGUAAUCCAUCACUGCCAGAAACUGUACAGUUAAAGAGAAACAUCAGAUCAUUAAUACUUCAGCCUUUGAAUCUUUAGAUGAUGUCUUUUUAGACAUUUUUCCUUUGUAAUGGUCAACACAUAUUCAAACUGAUAAUCGUAGUUUCACCAGAAACACACCAGCUUGUAUUUAAAGCUUCAUUCUCAGUGUUU